rnacentral:rRNA from 1 species
CCUACGGGAGGCAGCAGUGGGGAAUAUUGGGCAAUGGGCGCAAGCCUGACCCAGCAACGCCGCGUGAAGGAAGAAGGCUUUCGGGUUGUAAACUUCUUUUAAGGGGGAAGAGCAGAAGACGGUACCCCUUGAAUAAGCCACGGCUAACUACGUGCCAGCAGCCGCGGUAAUACGUAGGUGGCAAGCGUUGUCCGGAUUUACUGGGUGUAAAGGGCGUGCAGCCGGAGAGACAAGUCAGAUGUGAAAUCCACGGGCUCAACCCGUGAACUGCAUUUGAAACUGGUUCCCUUGAGUGUCGGAGAGGUGAUCGGAAUUCCUGGUGUAGCGGUGAAAUGCGUAGAUAUAAGGAAGAACACCAGUGGCGAAGGCGGAUUACUGGACGAUAACUGACGGUGAGGCGCGAAAGCGUGGGGAGCAAACAGGAUUAGAUACCCGGGUAGUC